rnacentral:rRNA from 1 species
AGUCAAUAGAUACCCCGGUAGUCCAUGCCGUAAACGAUGAUUGCUAGGUGUGGGGGGUCUGACCCCUUCCGUGCCGGAGUUAAACACAAAUAAGCAAUCCACCUGGGGAGUACGGCCGCAAGGUUGAAACUCAAAGGAAUUGACGGGGGCCCGCACAAGCAGUGGAGUAUGUGGUUUAAUUCGAAGCAACGCGAAGAACCUUACCAGGUCUUGACAUCCACCGAAUCCUGUAGAGAUACGGGAGUGCCCUUCGGGGAACGGUGAGACAGGUGGUGCAUGGUUGUCGUCAGCUCGUGUCGUGAGAUGUUGGGUUAAGUCCCGCAACGAGCGCAACCCUUGUGAAUAGUUGCUACGAAAGAGCACUCUAUUCAGACCGCCGUUGACAAAACGGAGGAAGGUGGGGAUGACGUCAAAUCAUCAUGCCCCUUAUGACCUGGGCUACACACGUACUACAAUGGUCGUCAACAGAGGGAAGCAAGACCGCGAGGUGGAGCGAACCCCUAAAAACGAUCUCAGUUCAGAUUGCAGGCUG